rnacentral:rRNA from 1 species
UACGGAGGGUGCAAACGUUGCUCGGAAUCAUUGGGCGUAAAGCGCACGUAGGUGGUCUGUUAAGUCUGAUGUGAAAGCCCUGGGCUCAACCCAGGAAGUGCAUCGGAAACUGGCAGGCUUGAGUAUGGAAGAGGGUCGCGGAAUUCCCGGUGUAGAGGUGAAAUUCGUAGAUAUCGGGAGGAACACCAGUGGCGAAGGCGGCGACCUGGGCCAAUACUGACACUGAGGUGCGAAAGCGUGGGGAGCGAACAGG